rnacentral:lncRNA from 10 species
AAAGCUUUGUUAUGAAGAAAGUUCUAGGUGUAUUUAAUAAUGAUCCGGCUUUCUCCCCUGAUUCUGCUAAAGUGAGCUCUGAGGAACAUUUCACUGUGAGAAUAUAAUGGAGUUCUUCUUGAUAAAUCCGACAAAAUUGUGUGGCUUCCUCGCAAAACUGCAGGGCCAGGGAAUUUCUUAUUCUCAUCCUAGUUCAAACUCUACCUGCAGAAGUUAAUCAAAUUUUGCAUUUUAGGUUUCUGUUCAAUCCACAGCUUCUUCUCCAGGUUUUUCUUGCUGAAAGAAUGUGAGUGAUGACUUCAAAAAUUUUUACACACGGACCUGAAACUGAUAUUUAGGAUGUCACUUCAACAACUGGAAACCUCUGUGGCUGGUGGUGCCUCUGUUUGGGAUUUGCUUGUACCUGCUGGGCUAUUUCCGCCCACAAGGCCUGGCAGGCUGUGCUUGGCUGGUGUUACUGGCUGGAUCUCAUGCUUGCCAAGGAUAUCAAGUAUAUAUUUGCAUGUUUGGAUUCAACCUCCCAGAAGAGACAAGAGACAAGCUGAGACCCCAGAGUCCUUUCUAUGGUUUCUUCAGGUUCUCUCUCAGCUGACUCUUCUGAUGAAAGCCUUUGGAAUACUUACCUGGGAAACUCAGUGAUGAUCUGCGAGAAUGUCAACCUCCUCCUUCACUGGCAUGAGGAAUUCAAUGAAAUCUGGCUGGUUUCUCCUUUCUGUCAUCUGUGUAAGGGACUCAUUUUCAUCUCACCAUCUCACCAUGUAAAGACAAAUGAAAUUCAAAUAUUUUCUGUGGAGGGAUUUUUAUUUUCCUGACAUUUAGUUCAUUAUGAUUUAUUUGUUUUUCAGCUUUCUAACAGGUUUUCAAAAACUGCUAUUUUGUAGCUUUUCUGGCUUUUGAAAAUUUUGUUUUUAAUUAGCAUAAGAUUGAUGAUCUCAUGCUGCUUUCUAUAUCCUGACUGGCAACAAAUGUUCACAUGUUUAUAAUUGUGUAGGAUAUGUAUCAAUUUGGCCUAAACAUUUUAAUUGAUUUUUUUUGGAUUGUAAUAAAGAAAAUACCGUAUCUUGGACAGUGGUAUUUUAAAUGUUAGCCUUACA